rnacentral:rRNA from 1 species
UACGUAGGGGGCAAGCGUUGUCCGGAAUCAUUGGGCGUAAAGCGCGUGUAGGCGGCUCGAUAAGUCCGCUCUGAAAGUCCAGGGCUCAACCCUGGGAUGCGGGUGGAUACUGUCGGGCUCGAGUCCGGAAGAGGCGAGUGGAAUUCCUGGUGUAGCGGUGAAAUGCGCAGAUAUCAGGAGGAACACCAAUGGCGAAGGCAGCUCGCUGGGACGGUACUGACGCUGAGACGCGAAAGCGUGGGGAGCGAACAGG